UCCAGCCAACUGUAGCAGCCCUGGGGAUUCCCCUCGUGCUGGUGCUGCAGGGAGGGGAAAUUGGGGUAAGCCAGGUGACUGGGGCUGCAUCCUGCCUGCUGGGGGGAGGAGGUUUUGCUUCCUCCUGCCCUGCCUUUAAGCCAUCCAUUACCUACAGCAAGCAGCAUUUGAGGUGAUUUGCCUAUCUGGGGAUGAGUCUCUGCCCAAAUGGGAAAGCUGGAGGAACUGGACCAAAGGAAGGAGAGAUGCUGGAAAGAUGCAUUUUGAUGUGUGGAUACUGCUUGCCUUACAAUGACACUAUUUCCCACCCUUUCUACGUACGUUCAAGCCAAAGAAAUGUAUUUUCAGCAGAGGUUCUGUGCUGUGCUUUGCUCAGCGACGUGCCUGGCUUUCAGGUGGCACCAGGUCCCUGUGCAGGGAGCACACAGCUCUGCCAGCUCAGCCUCUGGUUGUGGAGAUACAUUCACCGAGGGCUCCAGCAUCUCUUUAAGCAAAACACUGCAAAAAGAGCUUGUGCAGUGCUUUUCCCCUGGUUGGGUUUGGAUAGCCAAGGACAGAAGUCUAAAAGCAGGCAGGUUAUUCUCCAAAUGCACCACAAAACAACAGCAACAACAAGGAGGUAUGCUUUUGUUUUUAAAGCAAUUUUUACUAGGUACUUGGUUUGCAGCCAGCAGCCUAAUGCAUCACUGAAUUUA